UACGUAGGGGGCUAGCGUUGUCCGGAAUCAUUGGGCGUAAAGCGCGUGUAGGCGGCCAGGUAGGUCUGCUGUGAAAACUCGAGGCUCAACCUCGAGACGUCGGCGGAAACCAUCUGGCUAGAGUCCGGAAGAGGAGAGUGGAAUUCCUGGUGUAGCGGUGAAAUGCGCAGAUAUCAGGAAGAACACCCGUGGCGAAGGCGGCUCUCUGGGACGGUACUGACGCUGAGGCGCGAAAGCUCGGGGAGCGAACGGG
rnacentral:rRNA from 1 species